rnacentral:rRNA from 1 species
UACGAAGGGGGCUAGCGUUGCUCGGAAUUACUGGGCGUAAAGGGCGCGUAGGCGGAUGUUUAAGUCGGGGGGUGAAAGCCCGGGGCUCAACCCCGGAAUUGCCUUCGAUACUGGACAUCUUGAGUACGGGAGAGGUGAGUGGAACUCCGAGUGUAGAGGUGAAAUUCGUAGAUAUUCGGAAGAACACCAGUGGCGAAGGCGACUCACUGGCCCGUUACUGACGCUGAGGCGCGAAAGCGUGGGGAGCAAACAGG